rnacentral:rRNA from 1 species
AGAAUGAACGCUGGCGGCGUGGAUAAGACAUGCAAGUCGAACGCUGAACGGGUAACUUAGUAGGCGUGGCGCAAGGGGUAGUAAUAUAUGGGCAACGCACCCUGGGGACCGGGAUAUGCGGCCGAAAGGCCGUGCAAUACUGGACGAUGUCAAUGCGGGGCAUCCCGUGCUGACCAAAUGAAUUUCGCCCUGGGAGCGGCUCAUAUCGUACCAGCUAGUUGGUGAGGUGAAAGCUCACCAAGGCUGCGACGCGUAGGGGGUGUGAGAGCACGACCCCCACCAUUGGCACUGAGACACUGGCCAGACUCCUACGGGAGCUGCAGUCGAGAAUCUUCGGCAAUGGGCGAAAGCCUGACCGAGCAACGCCGCGUGGUGGAUGAAGGCCUUCGGUUGUAAACGACCUGUUGGGGAAACAACGACUGAGUCGAACCCUGAGGAAGCGACGGCUAAGUCGUGCCAGCGAGCCGC